GAGCGCAACCCUUAUCCUUUGUUGCCAGCGGUUCGGCCGGGAACUCAAAGGAGACUGCCAGUGAUAAACUGGAGGAAGGUGGGGAUGACGUCAAGUCAUCAUGGCCCUUACGAGUAGGGCUACACACGUGCUACAAUGGCAUAUACAAAGAGAAGCGACCUCGCGAGAGCAAGCGGACCUCAUAAAGUAUGUCGUAGUCCGGAUUGGAGUCUGCAACUCGACUCCAUGAAGUCGGAAUCGCUAGUAAUCGUGGAUCAGAAUGCCACGGUGAAUACGUUCCCGGGCCUUGUACACACCGCCCGUCACACCAUGGGAGUGGGUUGCAAAAGAAGUAGGUAGCUUAACCUUCGGGAGGGCGCUUACCACUUUGUGAUUCAUGACUGGGGUGAAGUCGUAACAAGGUAACCGUAGGGGAACCUGCGGUUGGAUCACCUCCUUA
rnacentral:rRNA from 1 species